CCAGUAACUCCGCCUGUAGCGCUUCUGCCGGUCCGAAGCCCGGGUAAAGGAGGAGGGUUGG
rnacentral:ribozyme from 2 species